CAUUAGUACCGGUUCGUGGCUAACCUUUAGCACCGGUUCGUGCCACGAACCGGUACUAAUGAGGGUGGUGGCAGGAUGUUGUCAGUCUGGGCCCCCUCCA
rnacentral:pre_miRNA from 1 species